UACGAAGGGGGCUAGCGUUGUUCGGAAUCACUGGGCGUAAAGCGCACGUAGGCGGAUCUUUAAGUCAGGGGUGAAAUCCCGAGGCUCAACCUCGGAACUGCCUUUGAUACUGGGAGCCUUGAGUUCGGGAGAGGUGAGUGGAACUGCGAGUGUAGAGGUGAAAUUCGUAGAUAUUCGCAAGAACACCAGUGGCGAAGGCGGCUCACUGGCCCGAUACUGACGCUGAGAUACGAAAGCGUGGGUAGCAAACAGG
rnacentral:rRNA from 1 species